rnacentral:rRNA from 1 species
AUGAACGCUGGCGGCGUGCCUAAUACAUGCAAGUCGAGCGAACAGACGAGGAGCUUGCUCCUCUGACGUUAGCGGCGGACGGGUGAGUAACACGUGGAUAACCUACCUAUAAGACUGGGAUAACUUCGGGAAACCGGAGCUAAUACCGGAUAAUAUAUUGAACCGCAUGGUUCAAUAGUGAAAGACGGUUUUGCUGUCACUUAUAGAUGGAUCCGCGCCGCAUUAGCUAGUUGGUAAGGUAACGGCUUACCAAGGCAACGAUGCGUAGCCGACCUGAGAGGGUGAUCGGCCACACUGGAACGGAGACACGGUCCAGACUCCUACGGGAGGCAGCAGUAGGGAAUCUUCCGCAAGGGGCGAAAGCCUGACGGAGCAAGGCCGCGGGAGUGAUGAAGGUCUUCGGAUCGUAAAACUCUGUUAUUAGGGAAGAACAAAUGUGUAAGUAACUAUGCACGUCUUGACGGUACCUAAUCAGAAAGCCACGGCUAACUACG